rnacentral:rRNA from 1 species
AAUAGAUACCCCGGUAGUCCACGCCGUAAACGAUGAUAACUAGCUGUCCGGGCACUUGGUGCUUGGGUGGCGCAGCUAACGCAUUAAGUUAUCCGCCUGGGGAGUACGGCCGCAAGGUUAAAACUCAAAGGAAUUGACGGGGGCCUGCACAAGCGGUGGAGCAUGUGGUUUAAUUCGAAGCAACGCGCAGAACCUUACCAGCGUUUGACAUGGUAGGACGGUUUCCAGAGAUGGAUUCCUUCCCUUCGGGGACCUACACACAGGUGCUGCAUGGCUGUCGUCAGCUCAUGUCGUGAGAUGUUGGGUUAAGUCCCGCAACGAGCGCAACCCUCGUCCUUAGUUGCCAUCAUUUAGUUGGGCACUCUAAGGAAACCGCCGGUGAUAAGCCGGAGGAAGGUGGGGAUGACGUCAAGUCCUCAUGGCCCUUACGCGCUGGGCUACACACGUGCUACAAUGGCGGUGACAAUGGGCAGCAAUCCCGCGAGGGUGAGCUAAUCUCCAAAAACCGUCUCAGUUCGGAUUGUUCU